rnacentral:rRNA from 1 species
AGAGGGCAAAUAAAAAUAAAGAAACAACUUUGCUGACCAUGAUAUAUUUUUAUCUAGGCGGAAGAGUCCUCUUAAUAUUUAUCUAGUCUUAUAUAGGUUUCGGUAUAUUGAAAUAUAAACAUAAAAAAGAAGAUAGAGGAUAGGCUCAUUACUUAAAAAAAAGAUAUGGAAAUAGCUAUAGAAAAAAAAAGGAGCGUGAGAGCCAAAUGAAUCGAAAGAUUCAUGUUUGGUUCGGGAAGAGAUCAUAAAAGUUGUAAACUUACAAAAUAAUCUACUUUCAUUAAAAGAUUUAUUAGAUAAUCGAAAACAGAGGAUCUUGAGUACUAUUCGAAAUUCAGAAGAAUUGCGUAGAGGGACCAUUGAGCAACUCGAAAAAGCUCGGAUUCGAUUACAGAAAGUCGAACUAGAAGCGGAUGAGUAUCGAAUGAAUGGAUACUCUGAGAUAGAACGAGAAAAAGCAAAUUUGAUUAAUGCUACUUCUAUUAGUUUGGAACAAUUGGAAAAGUCUAAAAACGAAACCCUUUAUUUUGAAAAACAAAGGGCAAUGAAUCAGGUCCGACAGCGGGUUU